rnacentral:lncRNA from 1 species
GAAACACUCUCAGCAGGCAAGCUGAGAAGUACUCUCAGCAAGCAAAGUGGCCCACAAGCAGCCCAAAAAUUGCCUCCCAUCAUUGACUCCUUGUGAAGAACAAAGAGACGAUGGGAAGAAUUUUGCAGGAAAGAACUUCGCUGCUGGCCAGAAAAUAUUUCCUAUACCUCCCAUACCAAAUGUGACAUCAAGGUAAAUAUAAG